GUGAGUGUAGCUCAACGGGUAGAGCACUGGACUGUGGCUCCAGGUGUUGGGGGUUCGAGCCCCCUCACUCACC
rnacentral:tRNA from 1 species